rnacentral:rRNA from 1 species
UACGUAGGGUGCGAGCGUUAAUCGGAAUUACUGGGCGUAAAGCGUGCGCAGGCGGUUCGUUGUGUCGGCGGUGAAAGCCCCGGGCUCAACCUGGGAAUGGCCGUUGAAACUGGCGAACUGGAGUGUGGCAGAGGGGGGUGGAAUUCCGCGUGUAGCAGUGAAAUGCGUAGAGAUGCGGAGGAACACCGAUGGCGAAGGCAGCCCCCCUGGG